UUAUGGCUCGGGAUUAACGCUGGCGGCAUGCCUAAUACAUGCAAGUCGAAUGGGAAAGCUUGCUUUCCAUGGCGAACGGGUGAGUAACACGUAGGUAACCUACCUUAAGGACGAGGAUAACCUUUGGAAACGAAGGAUAAUACUGGAUAGGACAUUAAAAAGCACAUGCUUAAAUGUUUAAAGGAGCAAUCCACCAUAAGAGGGGCCUGCGGCGCAUUAGCUAGUUGGUGAGGUAAAGGCCCACCAAGGCGAUGAUGCGUAGCUGGACUGAGAGGUUGAACAGCCACAAUGGGACUGAGAACGGCCCAUACUCCUACGGGAGGCAGCAGUAGGGAAUUUUCGGCAAUGGACGAAAGUCUGAACCCGAGCAAUGCCGCGUGAACGAAGAAGUAUUUCGGUAUGUAAAGUUCUUUUAUCAGGGAAGAAAAAACAAAUUGACUGAACCUGAUGAAUAAGCUCCGGCUAACUACGUGCCAGCCGCGGC
rnacentral:rRNA from 1 species